rnacentral:rRNA from 1 species
GGAUCCAGACUUUGAUCCUGGCUCAGGAUGAACGCUAGCUACAGGCUUAACACAUGCAAGUCGAGGGGAAACGACAUCGAAAGCUUGCUUUUGAUGGGCGCCGACCGGCGCACGGGUGAGUAACGCGUAUCCAACCUGCCCACCACUUGGGGAUAACCUUGCGAAAGUAAGACUAAUACCCAAUGACGUCUCUAGAAGACAUCUGAAAGGGAUUAAAGAUUUAUCGGUGAUGGAUGGGGAUGCGUCUGAUUAGCUUGUUGGCGGGGUAACGGCCCACCAAGGCUACGAUCAGUAGGGGUUCUGAGAGGAAGGUCCCCCACAUUGGAACUGAGACACGGUCCAAACUCCUACGGGAGGCAGCAGUGAGGAAUAUUGGUCAAUGGACGAGAGUCUGAACCAGCCAAGUAGCGUGCUGGAUGACGGCCCUAUGGGUUGUAAACUGCUUUUAUAAGGGAAUAAAGUGAGUCUCGUGAGGCUUUUUGCAUGUACCUUAUGAAUAAGGACCGGCUAAUUCCGUGCCAGCAGCCGCGGUAAUACGGAAGGUCCGGGCGUUAUCCGGAUUUAUUGGGUUUAAAGGGAGCGUAGGCCGGAGAUUAAGCGUGUUGUGAAAUGUAGAUGCUCAACAUCUGCACUGCAGCGCGAACUGGUUUCCUUGAGUACGCACAAAGUGGGCGGAAUUCGUGGUGUAGCGGUGAAAUGCUUAGAUAUCACGAAGAACUCCGAUUGCGAAGGCAGCUCACUGGAGCGCAACUGACGCUGAAGCUCGAAAGUGCGGGUAUCGAACAGGAUUAGAUACCCUGGUAGUCCGCACGGUAAACGAUGGAUGCCCGCUGUUGGUCUGAAUAGGUCAGCGGCCAAGCGAAAGCAUUAAGCAUCCCACCUGGGGAGUACGCCGGCAACGGUGCAACUCA